AUUGAACGCUGGCGGCAGGCCUAACACAUGCAAGUCGAGCGGAGCGCCGGUCGGGUGAGUAAUGCCUAGGAAUCUGCCUGGUAGUGGGGGAUAACGUCCGGAAACGGGCGCUAAUACCGCUUACUAUCAGCUGAGCCUAGUCCGGAUUAGCUAGUUGGUGGGGUAAAGGCCUACCAAGGCGACGAUACGUAACUGGUCCGAGAGGAUGAUCAGUCACACUGGAACUGAGAAAAGGUCCAGACACGUACGGGAGGCAGCAGUGGGGAAUAUUGAACAAUGGGCGAAAGCCUGAUCCAGCCAGGCCGCGUGUGUGAAGAAGGUCUUCGGAUUGUAAAGCACUUUAAGUUGGGAGGCGUUACCAAAAGAAUAAGCACCGGCUAACUUCGUGCCAGCCGCCGCGGUAAUAC
rnacentral:rRNA from 1 species